UACGGAGGGGGCUAGCGUUGUUCGGAAUUACUGGGCGUAAAGCGCGCGUAGGCGGACCUGCAAGUCGGGGGUGAAAGCCCGAGGCUCAACCUCGGAACUGCCUUCGAUACUGCGGGUCUCGAGUCCGGGAGAGGUGAGUGGAAUUCCGAGUGUAGAGGUGAAAUUCGUAGAUAUUCGCAAGAACACCCGUGGCGAAGGCGGCUCUCUGGGACGGUACUGACGCUGAGACGCGAAAGCGUGGGGAGCGAACAGG
rnacentral:rRNA from 1 species